ACCAGCGGCCGUAGCCGUGCAUGUCUACCGGUUCCCGUUCGAUCACCGAAGUCAAGAUGCACUGGGCGGCGUUCCGUAAGAAGAUGGGUGACCACCGCUCCACAUCCGUCUCUGGAACCCCCGUGCUGCUGGUU
rnacentral:rRNA from 1 species